UGUGACUGCGUACCUUUUGUAUAAUGGGUCAGCGACUUAUAUUCUGUAGCAAGGUUAACCGAAUAGGGGAGCCGGAGGGAAACCGAGUCUUAACCGGGCGUUAAGUUGCAGGGUAUAGACCCGAAACCCGGUGAUCUAGCCAUGGGCAGGUUGAAGGUUGGGUAACACUAACUGGAGGACCGAACCGACUAAUGUUGAAAAAUUAGCGGAUGACCUGUGGCUGGGGGUGAAAGGCCAAUCAAACCGGGAGAUAGCUGGUUCUCCCCGAAAGCUAUUUAGGUAGCGCCUCGUGAAUUCAUCUCCGGGGGUAGAGCACUGUUUCGGCUAGGGGGCCAUCCCGGCUUACCAACCCGAUGCAAACUGCGAAUACCGGAGAAUGUUAUCACGGGAGACACACGGCGGGUGCUAACGUCCGUCGUGAAGAGGGAAACAACCCAGACCGCCAGCUAAGGUCCCAAAGUCAUGGUUAAGUGGGAAACGAUGUGGGAAGGCCCAGACAGCCAGGAUGUUGGCUUAGAAGCAGCCAUCAUUUAAAGAAAGCGUAAUAGCUCACUGGUCGAGUCGGCCUGCGCGGAAGAUGUAACGGGGCUAAACCAUGCACCGAAGCUGCGGCAGCGACGCUGAUGCGUUGUUGGGUAGGGGAGCGUUCUGUAAGCCUGCGAAGGUGGCCUGUGAGGGUUGCUGGAGGUAUCAGAAGUGCGAAUGCUGACAUAAGUAACGAUAAAGCGGGUGAAAAGCCCGCUCGCCGGAAGACCAAGGGUUCCUGUCCAACGUUAAUCGGGGCAGGGUGAGUCGACCCCUAAGGCGAGGCCGAAAGGCGUAGUCGAUGGGAAACGGGUUAAUAUUCCCGUACUUGGUGUUACUGCGAAGGGGGGACGGAGAAGGCUAUGUUGGCCGGGCGACGGUUGUCCCGGUUUAAGCGUGUAGGUGUGUGUUCCAGGUAAAUCCGGUU
rnacentral:rRNA from 1 species